rnacentral:rRNA from 1 species
UACCUACGGGAGGCAGCAGUAGGGAAUCUUCCACAAUGGACGAAAGUCUGAUGGAGCAACGCCGCGUGAGUGAAGAAGGGUUUCGGCUCGUAAAGCUCUGUUGGUAGUGAAGAAAGAUAGAGGUAGUAACUGGCCUUUAUUUGACGGUAAUUACUUAGAAAGUCACGGCUAACUACGUGCCAGCAGCCGCGGUAAUAAGUAGGUGGGAAGCGUUGUCCGGAUUUAUUGGGCGUAAAGCGAGUGCAGGCGGGUGUACUAGUUCGGU